UACGUAGGGUGCAAGCGUUGUCCGGAAUUAUUGGGCGUAAAGAGCUCGUAGGCGGUUCGUCGCGUCGGCUGUGAAAACCCGGAGCUCAACUCCGGGCCUGCAGUCGAUACGGGCGGACUUGAGUGUUGCAGGGGAGACUGGAAUUCCUGGUGUAGCGGUGAAAUGCGCAGAUAUCAGGAGGAACACCGGUGGCGAAGGCGGAUCUCUGGGCCAUUACUGACGCUGAGGAGCGAAAGCGUGGGGAGCGAACAGG
rnacentral:rRNA from 1 species